AGCUUUGCACAGUGGCAGUAUCGUAGCCAAUGAGGUUUAUCCGAGGUGCGAUUAUUGCUAAUGUGGCUAGUCCAAAUUGAGUUGUGCCAUAAGGAUCCACAACAGAUUUUGAGGACUUAGCACACAG
rnacentral:snRNA from 1 species